rnacentral:lncRNA from 1 species
CACGACCAGACAUUUACCGAUGACUGGGAAGGAACUCGAUGUUUACCGACAUCGAACAAGGAUGUUUAUAAGUGAAACAAGACCAGACAUUUACCGAUGUCAAAGAAAGUGCUACACGACCAGACAUUUACCGAUGACUGGGAAGGAACUCGAUGUUUACCGACAUCGAACAAGGAUGUUUAUAAGUGAAACAAGACUAGACAUUUACCGAUGACUGGGAAGGAACUCGAUGUUUACCGACAUUGAAC